ensembl:lncRNA
CUGCCUCAAGCAGUUAACAAGAACCAGGAGCAAUAGAAGGAACUAUUUUAAGCUGGCUUGGCAGGGGAGCCUCCCUGCUGAAAAGGAGGGGAGAACACAUCAGCCUUGGCAGCCUUGAUACCCAAACUGACAGCACUUAGGUGAACAUCACGUCCUGGCUCUGCUGUCCAAAGAAAUAACCUGUCAAACCCUUUGACUGAACUUACACAACGUCCAUAUGGCCACAGGGAAAAUAUUCUGACAGAGUCAGAAAAUGCAUCUGCAUUUUGAAGCAACUCAUUCAGCAAGAGUCUCGAGCACCCCAGCACACCACAUCUCUGCUGUCUAGAGUGGCUUCUGAUUAUAGUGGCCAUGUCAUUGACCACUGGAAAGAGUGCUUCCUCCACAGUCCAUAUUUCUUUUAGGAGUAGAAAAUAAACUAUAACUGUGACUUUUAUGAGAUUGAUUCACAUGCUUCUAUACCAUUGACAGGACCAACAGAAGUACAAAACAUCUCUUCAUUCCUACCUGAUAUGAUGAUGAUGAUGGAUAUAAUGACAUCAACAAGCAUGUUGAGAGGACAACAAAGAACCUGUUAGAAUGAAGAUCAAGGAAACACAAGGACGGUGAAAUGAUUGGACCACACCGAGGGCACAAGCCCUAGAAACAACAAGAGGACACCUGAGUUUGAUCCCUGGGUUAAGAAGAUCUCCUGGAGAAGGGAACAGCUAGCCACUCCAGUGUUCUGACCUGGAGAAUUCCAUGGACAGAGUAGCCUGGCAGGCUACAGUCUAUGGGGGUCGCAAAGAGUCAGACAUGACUGAGUGACUUUCACUUCACUUCACAAUGGAAACAAAAUGAACCAGCACAGUGAGCCCCAGGCCAUGAUGGUAGGUGGAAAUUAGAAAGAAGAGAGUGUUGGCCGAUCCCUGGUGGGCCAUGCCUAGAUUCCCACCUGUUAAUAGAAGAUUCUGGGAAGUGGGUGGAAAUGCCUCUGGUAAAUAACAAAGGUUUGAGUUAUCCAUUUCAUCUUUGUUUGUUUAUCACAGGCAUUUCCAUCCACUUCCCAGAAUCCUGAUUCAUGUUGAGUUUUGACAGAAAACAAAAUUCUGUAAAGCAAUUUAUCCUUCAACAAAAAAUAAAUUAAAACAAACAAGCAAACAAAUGAAGGGGCAGUGUUUCAUAGUGGGUGAGGCCAUGGGUUCUGGAGUAAGAGACAGCUGGUGUGUGAUUUAUUAGGUAUCUGACUGUGGAUCAUUCACCUAACCUCUCUGAUCUGAAGCUUAAUUAUCUCUAUGGAUCCCAAUACCAACUUCAUAAGAUUGUCAGAAGGAUUAAGCCUGAGAAAAUCUCUGGAAUACAUAAUCCAGACUAUGAUAGAUAUUAUCCAUGGUUAAAUAGGAACAUCUGUGAUUAGU